CCUACGGGGGGCAGCAGUGAGGAAUAUUGGUCAAUGGGCGGGAGCCUGAACCAGCCAAGUAGCGUGAAGGAUGACAGCCCUAUGGGUUUUAAACUUCUUUUAUAAGGGAAUAAAGUGCCCCACGUGUGGGGUUUUGUAUGUACCUUAUGAAUAAGCAUCGGCUAAUUCCGUGCCAGCAGCCGCGGUAAUACGGAAGAUGCGAGCGUUAUCCGGAUUUAUUGGGUUUAAAGGGUGCGUAGGCGGAAUAUCAAGUCAGCGGUAAAACUUCGGGGCUCAACCCUGUCGUGCCGUUGAAACUGAUGUUCUGGAGUUGGCGAGAAGUAGGCGGAAUGCGUGGUGUAGCGGUGAAAUGCAUAGAUAUCACGUAGAACUCCGAUUGCGAAGGCAGCAUACCGGAGCCCAACUGACGCUGAAGCACGAAAGCGUGGGUAUCGAACAGGAUUAGAUACCCUGGUAGUC
rnacentral:rRNA from 1 species